UUGAAAGCCAUUGAUCAAAACCUGAAGAUCCAAUGACAUGAGAGCUCGGCCUUCAUCAGUACACUUCUUCACCCGUGAGAGACCUUCAAUGAGAGUUUCAGCCACAAUUUCGAGACCAUGUUCUAGAAGGAGGUCCUGAACCUCCUUGUGGAUUCCUCCAUGAGCAAGCCUCGUUUUAUAGUGCUUAAAUUCUCCCAACAACAAAUCAACGUACCCAUUAUGCUCUAGUCCAAGCUCUUUUACUUCCCAUUUAGCAUUAGCAAUUCGGUCAACAUAACCAUUAAUAUGUAAAAGUAGUCUUGCAGUUGUCCUAUGUAUAUGCUCUGUAAGAUCUGGUACAGAAUCCACCAAGGUUGCAUAGAAAUCCUCCACGAUAGCAGGAUUAUUUUGAAGAAGCAUUGACUGAAGAUGGGUUUUGGAUCUGUGUAAUAUACGAGCAACGAGAGAGAUAUUAUCGGCCGCUGCACAUCUUUCCUUGAGACCAAAAGAUGUGGCUGGUGAAUGAUUCUGAGGAUUAGUUGGUGUUAAAUCUGCAUGCAUAUAUGUACUUAAAGAUGUGGGUGAAGAAGUAGAUAUUGUUGACUGGGAUUUUAUCCAUUGGUCACAAUCCUGUGAUACUCUGGAUAAGGCUAUCUUCAGUCGAUAAUUGACAGAAUCAGAUAAACCUUUUCCAUUUGAGUUGGAAUUUUGCUGACCAAAUGUUUCAAAUAUAAAGUAGAAAAAAACCUCAAACAACUGGCAUAUCCCCUUAAAAAACUCAACAUUCACUAUUUCUAGUUUCUGCAUGAGCCUUGCAUAUUUAUCCAUUGACCUUAGAAGACAUAUAGAUGAUCCC
rnacentral:misc_RNA from 1 species